UACGUAGGGUGCGAGCGUUAAGCGGAAUUACUGGGCGUAAAGCGUGCGCAGGCGGUUCGUUGUGUCUGAUGUGAAAGCCCCGGGCUUAACCUGGGAAUGGCAUUGGAAACUGGCGAGCUGGAGUGUGGCAGAGGGGGGUGGAAUUCCGCGUGUAGCAGUGAAAUGCGUAGAGAUGUGGAGGAACACCGAUGGCGAAGGCAGCCCCCUGGGCCAAUACUGACGCUCAUGCACGAAAGCGUGGGGAGCAAACAGG
rnacentral:rRNA from 1 species